UACGUAGGUGACAAGCGUUGUCCGGAUUUACUGGGCGUAAAGCGCGCGCAGGCGGUCGUUCAAGUCGAGUGUGAAAGCCCCCGGCUCAACUGGGGAGGGUCACUCGAUACUGAUCGACUCGAAGGCAGGAGAGGGAAGUGGAAUUCCCGGUGUAGUGGUGAAAUGCGUAGAUAUCCGGAGGAACACCGAUGGCGAAGGCAGCUGCCUGGCCUAGGACUGACGCUGAGGUGCGAAAGCGUGGGGAGCGAACGGG
rnacentral:rRNA from 1 species